GGGCCUCUUGCCAUCGGAUGUGCCCAGAUGGGAUUAGCUAGUAGGUGGGGUAACGGCUCACCUAGGCGACGAUCCCUAGCUGGUCUGAGAGGAUGACCAGCCACACUGGAACUGAGACACGGUCCAGACUCCUACGGGAGGCAGCAGUGGGGAAUAUUGCACAAUGGGCGCAAGCCUGAUGCAGCCAUGCCGCGUGUAUGAAGAAGGCCUUCGGGUUGUAAAGUACUUUCAGCGGGGAGGAAGGGAGUAAAGUUAAUACCUUUGCUCAUUGACGUUACCCGCAGAAGAAGCACCGGCUAACUCCGUGCCAGCAGCCGCGGUAAUACGGAGGGUGCAAGCGUUAAUCGGAAUUACUGGGCGUAAAGCGCACGCAGGCGGUUUGUUAAGUCAGAUGUGAAAUCCCCGGGCUCAACCUGGGAACUGCAUCUGAUACUGGCAAGCUUGAGUCUCGUAGAGGGGGGUAGAAUUCCAGGUGUAGCGGUGAAAUGCGUAGAGAUCUGGAGG
rnacentral:rRNA from 1 species